CCUACGGGUGGCACCAGGCGCGAAACCUUUACACUGCGGGAAACCGCGAUAAGGGGACACUGAGUGCCAGCAUAUAAUGCUGGCUGUCCGUAUGUGUAAAAUACAUGCGUUAGCAAGGGCCGGGCAAGACCGGUGCCAGCCGCCGCGGUAACACCGGCGGCCCGAGUGGUGAUCGCUAUUAUUGGGUCUAAAGGGUCCGUAGCCGGUUUGAUCAGUCCAUUGGGAAAUCUGGUGGCUUAACCGUCAGAAUUCCAAUGGAUACUGUCAGACUUGGGACCGGGAGAGGUAAGAGGUACUACAGGGGUAGGAGUGAAAUCUUGUAAUCCCUGUAGGACCACCAGUUGCGAAGGCGUCUUACCAGAACGGGUCCGACGGUGAGGGACGAAAGCUGGGGGCACGAACCGGAUUAGAUACCCUGGUAGUC
rnacentral:rRNA from 1 species